rnacentral:SRP_RNA from 1 species
AUUCAAGUGUACGGCAAUAGAAUUUCUAUGAACCGGGUCAGAUACGGAAGUAAGCAGCUCUAAGUAGAAAGUCUAUGUGCUGUACAUUUAGUGUUU